rnacentral:rRNA from 1 species
AACAAACGCUGGCGGCGUGCCUAAUACAUGCAAGUCGAACGGGGAAAGCUUUCGGGUGAGUACUAGUGGCGCACGGGUGAGUAACGCGUGGAUAAUCUGCCUUAGAGUGGGGGAUAACUAGUCGAAAGAUUAGCUAAUACCGCAUAAGACCACAAGAACUGCGGUUCAAGAGGUCAAAGGUUUUUCGCUCUAAGAUGAGUCCGCGUAAGAUUAGCUAGUUGGUGAGGUAACGGCUCACCAAGGCAACGAUCUUUAACUGGUCUGAGAGGAUGAUCAGUCACACUGGAACUGAGACACGGUCCAGACUCCUACGGGAGGCAGCAGUAGGGAAUAUUGCACAAUGGAGGAAACUCUGAUGCAGCGACGCCGCGUGAGUGAUGAAGGCCUUCGGGUCGUAAAGCUCUGUCGCAGGGGAAUAACACAAUGAAUGUACCCUGUAAGAAAGGAUCGGCUAACUUCGUGCCAGCAGCCGCCGUAACAC